rnacentral:rRNA from 1 species
ACCCCUGACUCUGGGAUAAGCGCUGGAAACGGCGUCUAAUACUGGAUACGAGUGGCGACCGCAUGGUCAGCUACUGGAAAGAUUUAUUGGUUGGGGAUGGGCUCGCGGCCUAUCAGCUUGUUGGUGAGGUAAUGGCUCACCAAGGCGUCGACGGGUAGCCGGCCUGAGAGGGUGACCGGCCACACUGGGACUGAGACACGGCCCAGACUCCUACGGGAGGCAGCAGUGGGGAAUAUUGCACAAUGGGCGCAAGCCUGAUGCAGCAACGCCGCGUGAGGGAUGACGGCCUUCGGGUUGUAAACCUCUUUUAGCAGGGAAGAAGCGAAAGUGACGGUACCUGCAGAAAAAGCGCCGGCUAACUACGUGCCAGCAGCCGCGGUAAUACGUAGGGCGCAAGCGUUAUCCGGAAUUAUUGGGCGUAAAGAGCUCGUAGGCGGUUUGUCGCGUCUGCUGUGAAAUCCGGAGGCUCAACCUCCGGCCUGCAGUGGGUACGGGGCAGACUAGAGUGCGGUAGGGGGAGAUUGGAAUUCCUGGUGUAGCGGUGGAAUGCGCAGAUAUCAGGAGGAACACCGAUGGCGAAGGCAGAUCUCUGGGCCGUAACUGACGCUGAGGAGCGAAAGGGUGGGGAGCAAACAGGCUUAGAUACCCUGGUAGUCCACCCCGUAAACGUUGGGAACUAGUUGUGGGGUCCAUUCCACGGAUUCCGUGACGCAGCUAACGCAUUAAGUUCCCCGCCUGGGGAGUACGGCCGCAAGGCUAAAACUCAAAGGAAUUGACGGGGACCCGCACAAGCGGCGGAGCAUGCGGAUUAAUUCGAUGCAACGCGAAGAACCUUACCAAGGCUUGACAUAUACGAGAACGGGCCAGAAAUGGUCAACUCUUUGGACACUCGUAAACAGGUGGUGCAUGGUUGUCGUCAGCUCGUGUCGUGAGAUGUUGGGUUAAGUCCCGCAACGAGCGCAACCCUCGUUUUAUGUUGCCAGCACGUAAUGGUGGGAACUCAUGGGAUACUGCCGGGGUCAACUCGGAGGAAGGUGGGGAUGACGUCAAAUCAUCAUGCCCCUUAUGUCUUGGGCUUCACGCAUGCUACAAUGGCCGGUACAAAGGGCUGCAAUACCGCGAGGUGGAGCGAAUCCCAAAAAGCCGGUCCCAGUUCGGAUUGAGGUCUGCAACUCGACCUCAUGAAGUCGGAGUCGCUAGUAAUCGCAGAUCAGCAACGCUGCGGUGAAUACGUUCCCGGGUCUUGUACACACCGCCCGGCAAGUCAUGAAA